rnacentral:rRNA from 1 species
AGAACGAACGUUGGCGGCGUGGAUGAGGCAUGCAAGUCGAACGAGAAAGGCGCAAGCCGAGUACAGUGGCGGACGGGUGAGUAACACGUGAGCAAGCUGCCCUAGAGACGGGGAUAACCAUGGGAAACUGUGGCUAAGACCCGAUGGCGCUGCUGGACCGCAUGGUUCGGCAGAUAAAUGUGGGGGACCCUUCGGGGCCUCAUGCUUUAGGAGGCGUUCACGGCCUAUCAGCUAGUUGGCGGGGUAACGGCCCACCAAGGCGAAGACGGGUA